rnacentral:lncRNA from 1 species
CCUCAUCCCAUCGGGCAGCAUCAAUAUCAAGGCAAGCUCUGUUAUGUCUAACGCAGAAGGCUGGAAUUUAGUUAAUUUUAUCAUUUUAGGUGAUUCAACCCUUUUAAUAAAAAGAGGGGACCUUGGGGCUGGUGGCGUCACAGAUAACGAGUGUGGACAGCAGCAGCAGAUGGGUGACCUUGUUCUGCUCGCUAACUCCUUUCCUUCCCCUCCGCCCUUCCACACCCCCUCCCUUGAUUUCGUUUUCGAGUCCAAGGUUUUAACACCAGGAGGGGAAGGAACAAUUAGACAGCCAAGCCUUGGGAAAAUGCUGCUUCAGGGCAAUGGGCCUCUGCUCAUCCGGGUCUGCGGCCUUCAGACAGUGCCCGACUUCGGGCCUGGCAUCCACAGGAGGAAGAGGGCAGCCAGCCUGGCCCCCCAGGGACGGAGGGAGCUGAGGAUUUGAAGAGGAGUGAGACCCAUCCCCACCACCCCCCAAAGAACCAACCCGUGAUUGUCUGGGUCGACAGAGCCCAGCAGGUGACCUACCUAGGGACCAGAAGGGAACUAUUGGAACAGACUAAGAGCAAGAAAUGAGCCCAAGGACCCGAACUGGAGGGACCUCUUGUCCUUCAGAAGCCAAGGUCUACUCAGUUAAUGGGAAAGAGCCGCACCAGGCGAGGACGUGGAAAGGCUGGGAGGGUCCAGCAGUUCUUUGUACUGUAACUGUCCUACCCCGUUACUCCCUUAAGGACGUCUGUAUUUCUCAUCUGAUAGGUCCUAAUUUGUGACUUGAAAAUAUGUUUUCUUGAGAUAAAUGGCACAUGAAAGGGUGUGUGUUUGCUUGAAAUGUGCUUGAAAACUUACUGCGUCUAACCAGUUCCGUUUCCGACCUGCACCCUGAGAAGUUUAUGCCCAUACACCUUCAUUAAUUCCAUCCAUCUCACUGGAAACCCGCUGUGCAAAGUUUCGAGGGUUCUGCACCCAACAUAUUUAAAACAUGAGACAACUCCAUUGGCUUACAUGUAAGCAGAUUUUUAUAUACUCAAAACGGACUUUUCCAAAAACAACCAUUUCCCGUAUGUAAGCAAUAUUCCAAGUCAUUGUUGGGGUAAAUCCCUGGAAGUUUUCAAAUAAGGGAGUUUCAUUUAUUUGGCAUUAUUGGUUUACAGUCUGUUCCACACAAGUGCCUGCACAAAAACUUUGUUUUAGCUAAAAUAUGCUUUCUAAAAUAGAGUGUGCUAUGCGCUAUCUCAAUGACAUGGGGUAUUAUUAAUUACAUAAUGAUUGCACUCAACGUUGUGCGACAUGAGGCCUCCAAGUGCUACUGAAGGGCAUCGAGCUGCUUUCCUUUACACUGACACUGAACUUAUUAUUUUUAUUUUUUUGAGGAAGAUUAGCCCUGAGCUAACAUCUGCUGCCAAUCCUCUUCCUUUUGCUGAGGAAGAUUGGCCCUGAGCUAACAU